CACAGGUCCUGGAACACGGUGUCCAGGGAGUUGCCUGCACCAGGCACUUUUUCUUCAACACUAAUGGUCUCUCCUGACUGCUUGGCACAGAUCUUACAGCAGCCACAACCGUCCUUCACCAAGCUUAUUCCAGGAGUGCAGGUUGGCACCGGAGGGCAUCUGCAUGGCCAGUGGCAAACUUCCUUGCGCUGGGAAAGAUGUCAACUGAAAGGUGUGAGACUACAAAGUUUCACAGAGAGAAAAUCACCAUCAGGCAAAUACCUGACACUUAUAACUGUAGAAUUACUGAGGAGCUCAGCCUACCAGGAAAAUCUUCCUGAAAAAAAAUCCCAAAUCUAUUAAGUUACAAUGAAAAUUUA